rnacentral:rRNA from 1 species
GACGAACGCUGGCGGCGUGCUUAACACAUGCAAGUCGAGCGGUAAGGCCCUUUCGGGGGUACACGAGCGGCGAACGGGUGAGUAACACGUGGGUGACCUGCCCUCAGCUCUGGGAUAAGCCUGGGAAACCGGGUCUAAUACUGGAUAUGACUCCAUGACGCAUGUUGUGGGGUGGAAAGCCUUGUGCGGCUGAGGAUGGGCCCNCGGCCUAUCAGCUUGUUGGUGGGGNGAUGGCCUACCAAGGCGACGACGGGUAGCCGGCCUGAGAGGGCGACCGGCCACACUGGGACUGAGACACGGCCCAGACUCCUACGGGAGGCAGCAGUGGGGAAUCUUGCGCAAUGGGCGAAAGCCUGACGCAGCGACGCCGCGUGAGGGAUGACGGCCU